GUGGGGAAUAUUGGACAAUGGGCGAAAGCCUGAUCCAGCCAUGCUGCGUGUGUGAAGAAGGUCUUCGGAUUGUAAAGCACUUUAAGUUGGGAGGAAGGGCAGUAAGUUAAUACCUUGCUGUUUUGACGUUACCGACAGAAUAAGCACCGGCUAACUUCGUGCCAGCAGCCGCGGUAAUACGAAGGGUGCAAGCGUUAAUCGGAAUUACUGGGCGUAAAGCGCGCGUAGGUGGUUUUGUAAGUUGGAGGUGAAAUCCCCGGGCUCAACCUGGGAACUGCCUCCAAAACUGCAUGACUAGAGUACGGUAGAGGGUAGUGGAAUUUCCUGUGUAGCGGUGAAAUGCGUAGAUAUAGGAAGGAACACCAGUGGCGAAGGCGACUACCUGGACUGAUACUGACACUGAGGUGCGAAAGCGUGGGGAGCAAACAGGAUUAGAAACCCGUGUAGUCC
rnacentral:rRNA from 1 species